rnacentral:rRNA from 1 species
UGAACGCUGGCGGAAUGCUUUACACAUGCAAGUCGAGCGGCAGCACGGGGGCAACCCUGGUGGCGAGCGGCGAACGGGUGAGUAAUACAUCGGAACAUGCCCAGUCGUGGGGGAUAACACUUCGAAAGAAGUGCUAAUACCGCAUACGUCCUGAGGGAGAAAGCGGGGGAUCGCAAGACCUCGCGCGAUUGGAGUGGCCGAUGUCAGAUUAGCUAGUUGGUGGGGUAAAGGCCUACCAAGGCAACGAUCUGUAGCUGGUCUGAGAGGAUGAUCAGCCACACUGGGACUGAGACACGGCCCAGACUCCUACGGGAGGCAGCAGUGGGGAAUUUUGGACAAUGGGGGCAACCCUGAUCCAGCCAUUCCGCGUGAGUGAAGAAGGCCUUCGGGUUGUAAAGCUCUUUCGGCAGGAACGAAACGGCGAGCUCUAACAUAGCUUGCUAAUGACGGUACCUGAAGAAGAAGCACCGGCUAACUACGUG